GGUUUAAAGGAUUCCAGGUUUGAUAUGCUGAGUAUUUUCUUCAGUUCCCUUCAUGACAAAAUCAAAGAAUUGCUUCAUGGAGGCAAGGAUUACUUUUUCAAGUUUCAAGAGGAGUUACUUUCUCCAGGACCUGCUUCCAUUCUGCCGGACCCUGUGUCUAUCUUUUUUAUUUGCUACUCUUCUUUAGUCCAUUACAACACAGUGCUGCCUGGAGA